rnacentral:misc_RNA from 1 species
GUACGCGUAUUCCACGUAGUGUGAAAGCCGGUUUCGCUGUAAUUGGACGGCAUCGAAGGAAACUUCUAAAGAGGUUAAAACAUUAAAAUGGUGGCAAACGGAGUCUCUAGAGGUCGGCCAGGCCGGACACCACAAUUCCUAACGUUAGGCCUCCUGGUUGUUAUCUGUAUUUUAGCUUUUAAUUACUGGAAUGUGUCAUCACGAAGCCGACUUCUGCAGCGACAAGUGCAAGAAAUGACGGCGACACUCGAAGAAUUGGCAAUGAAAAAGGUUCAUCUGGAGAAAAGAAGCGAAGCACUCCAAAGCCAGAUAGGAGAUGCCAACAAAGUGAACACUGUUUUAAAAACUGAAAAAGAAUCCUGUAUUAAAGAGAAAGAAGAUAUUCAGGCUUUAAAAGAAGAAGUUGGGUCGCAAGCGGAAUCUUUACGGAAAGAGAAAGACCUUGCAGUAACCUCAUUGGCACAAUUUAGGAUAAAUGCCUCCAAGACUGUUGAAUUGCUCAUGGAUAUGAAAACUAAAUAUGAAACAUUAAGAACAGAACAUGAGCAGAUCCAGGAAGCAUCGCGGCGGGAAGGACAAGAAAAAGAACAGGCCAUCCAAGCCAUCCAACAAAAUGCCAAUAAUCAGUUGGAUUUAUGUAAUUCCCAGAAGCAAGAGCUCAACCGGAUCAUAAGCAACCUUCAGAAGGAGUUCUCUGUCAUGCAACAACAGAGGGUGAGUGAGGGCAACGUGUCGAAAGAUGGGGGUGGACAGCAAGUAGUUGCAGGGAAUGAUCAAGCAGCAUACAUUCAACAACAGCAGCUUCUACAACAGCAACAACAACAACAGCAGCAACAAGAACAGCAACAGCAAGAACAGCAGCAGCAAUUACAGAAUCAACAAGGACUUCAACAGCAGAACGGUCUUAAUGCUCAACAACUUGCUUGGAUGCAGAGGGAACAAUAUCGUCAGCAGCAUCAAAACCAGCAACAACAGCAGCAACCGGAAGAACAAGACAAACAGCAGCAACAUAUGUUGUAUAAUCAACAGUAUCAGCAACAACAACAGGAACAGAUUGAACAGCAAGCACAAGAAGAACAAAGGCAAGAAGGUGAACAACAAAUGGAAAGGCCAGGUCAGGCAGAUCCAGGCCCAGUCCAGAUGGAGGCCAACCAAGAGACCCAGAAUGAAGAGGACAAACAACCCCAGAUGUUCCCAGACCGAGAACAGCAGCUGGAGGAUCAGCAGCAGGUCCAGGGACCGGUUCCAGACCAGGGUCAGGUAGAUAGAGAAGCCAAUGUUAUAGACAAUGAUGUACAAGACCCAGGCCAAGCAAAGCAAGAAACCAAUGAACAGGAAGUUCAACAACAGGAUGAAGAAGAUAGUCAAUUGAGUGAUGUGGACGAAGAAGGAGAACAGCAGAUUGACCAAGGACAAGUACAAGCUCCUCAACCUGUAGGUAAUGAUAAAGAAGGAGAUGAAGAUCGAACCGGAGAGAGUAGUUUAUCAGAGGUUGGAAAGGUAGAAGAAGGAGAGAAUGUGAAAGGAGAGAUAGUUCUCCAGGAAGAAGACGAUGUGGUGGAAGACGACGUGGUGGACGAAGAAAGGUUGGAGGUCGGGAACAUUGACCCUGGACAGCAAGGUGAUGAAGAGAAACAAGUAAGUGAUCCAUCUUAUGACUAUUCUGAUGAUGAGGAUUCUUCCGCAAAUGAUAAUGGUGGUGGGGAAGACAGCCCAGAGGAUGACGGGCCUAACGAUGGCAAUCAAGACUAUGAGUUGGCAGAUGAAGACCAAGGAGCGAUUCCUGUAGACGACAAUGGAAAUGAGAUCCAGGAAGAUGACCCUAAUGGCAAUAUUAAAGAUGACCAAAUUGAUCAAGAAAUGGAAGAGGACUAUCAACUGGCUGACCAAGGAGGGGAUGGUGAUUUAGAUGACGAUGAAGGAAGGGGUGCGAACCACGCUCAAGGGGAUCAAGGAAUGGUACCAGAUUACCCUGAGGAUGACCAAGGAAGAGUCGGGGAGUAUGAUGAGAAUGACCAAGAAAGGGGGCCAGACUACGCAGAAGGUGACCAAGAAAUAGAGGAUGACAAAGGAAGGGAGCCUGACUACCCAGAGGAAGAACAAGGAAUAGAUUCUGACUAUGUCAGUGAUGAUGAGGCGGAUGGUGAACAGGAGCUUGAAGACAGAGGCAAAAGUCAAGGAGAGAGCGAUAUGGGCAACCCUGAGGCGCUAAGCAAUGAAAAUGAUGGUCAAGUGCUUGAGGAUAUCAGACAGGAAGAAGUCAGAAACUACGCCUAAACCAAAGGAAUCCAAUUGGAUCAUAAUCCCCCAAUACAGGAUAUGGGAGCUGUCAGAGUAGUUGAUGAUGGAAAGGAAUUAGAUGAAGAAGAAAGAAUACAA